rnacentral:rRNA from 1 species
CUGUAAACGAUGUCGAUUUGGAGGUUGUUCCCUUGAGGAGUGGCUUCCGGAGCUAACGCGUUAAAUCGACCGCUGGGGAGUACGGCCGCAAGGUUAAAACUCAAAUGAAUUGACGGGGGCCCGCACAAGCGGUGGAGCAUGUGGUUUAAUUCGAUGCAACGCGAAGAACCUUACCUACUCUUGACAUCCAGAGAAUUUAGCAGAGAUGCUUUAGUGCCUUCGGGAACUCUGAGACAGGUGCUGCAUGGCUGUCGUCAGCUCGUGUUGUGAAAUGUUGGGUUAAGUCCCGCAACGAGCGCAACCCUUAUCCUUUGUUGCCAGCACAUUAUGGUGGGAACUCAAAGGAGACUGCCGGUGAUAAACCGGAGGAAGGUGGGGAUGACGUCAAGUCAUCAUGGCCCUUACGAGUAGGGCUACACACGUGCUACAAUGGCGUAUACAAAGAGAAGCGACCUCGCGAGAGCAAGCGGAACUCAUAAAGUACGUCGUAGUCCGGAUUGGAGCCUGCAACUCGACUCCAUGAAGUCGGAAUCGCUAGUAAUCGUAGAUCAGAAUGCUACGGUGAAUACGUUCCCGGGCCUUGUACACACCGCCCGUCACACCAUGGGAGUGGGUUGCAAAAGAAGUAGGUAGCUUAACCUUCGGGAGGGCGCUUACCACUUUGUGAUUCAUGACUGGGGUGAAGUCGUAACAAGGUAACCA